ensembl:lncRNA
GCGGCUGCGCCCCCCCCCCCCCCCCCUUCCUUUUCCUUCCUCAUUGCUUUUGCUGACCCCCCUCUUUCCCCCCCCACCCCCCCCCAUCCCAUGUGUGGGUCAGGAAGGACCGAUGUGUGACGGCGAUGCUUCGGCUCUCACAAAGCAAACCGAGAGGGGGAGAGUGGCGAAAUGGGGGUCUUCGGGGCUCCCCCCCCCCCCCACACACCCCCCCCGCACCCCCACCCCCCCAGGAGGAGGAAGGGCUGCGGUUGUGCCCUCAUUGUCCUUUGCUCCUCACGUGGCUCUGUUUGUCCCACGGGUGGCACAGCCACGCUCUGCUCCGCGGUGACGUGUGCCCAUAUGGGCUGUGGGUGCACCCCUAUGGGCUGUGAGUGUACUCCUAUGGGCUGUGGGUGUACCCCUAUUGGCUGUGAGUGCACUCCUAUGGGCUGUGGGUGCACCCCAAUGGGCUGUGGGUGUACCCCAAUGGGCUGUGGGUGUACCCCAAUGGGCUGUGAGUGCACCCUAAUGGGCUGUAAGGUGUACCCCAAUGAGCUGCGGGGUGUACCUCUAUUAGUGGGGUGUACCCCAAUGAGCUGCAGGCUGUACCCUGGUUAGUUGUCAGGGUGUACCCCAUUUAGCCGUGGGUUGCACCCCAGUUAGCUCCCCGUUGUACCCCAAUGAGCUGCAGGCUGUACCCGUUAGCUGUAAGGUGUACCCCAAUGAGCUGCGGGGUGUACUUUUAUUAGCUGUGGGGCGUACCCCAAUGAGCUGCGGGGUGUACCCCAAUGAGCCUCAGGGUGUACCCCAAUGAGCCUCAGGGUGUACCCCGGUGAGCUGUAGGAGUGUACCUCGGUUGGCUGUGGGGUACCCCAAUGAGCUGCGGGGCGUACCCCAUUGAACUGCAGGGUGUACCCCAUGAGCUGCGGUGUACCCCAUUGAGCUGCGGGGCGUACCCAAAGAGCCACAGGUCGUACCCCAUUGAGCUGCGGGGCGUACCCCAUGAGCUGCGGGGCGUACCCCAUUGAGCUGCGGGUGUACCCCAUUGAGCUGCGGGUGUACCCCAGUUGGCUGUGAGGCGCACCCCAACGAGCCGUGGGGGGGGGGUGGGGGGCUGCACCCCACUGAGCUGCGGGGUGCGCCCGGUGGUGAUGGGUGGGCGGCUGCGCCGGAUGACCUCGGAGGGCUUUUCCAACCCUGGCGAUUUUAGGAUUCCAGGACGAUCUGCGGGGUGCACCCCAUCAACUGCGCGUCGGACCCCAUUCAAUGCGCACUGCACCCCAUCAACUGCGCGUCGGACCCCAUUCAAUGCGCACUGCACCCCAUCAACUGCGCGUCGAACCCCAUUCAAUGCGCACUGCACCCCAUCAACUGCGCGUUGCACCCCAUUCACUGCGGGCUGCACCCCAUCAACUGCGCAUUGUACCCCAUUAACUGCGCGUUGUACCCCAUUAACUGCACGUGGUACCCCAUUAACGGCGCGUUGUACCCCAUUCACUGCACGUGGUACCCCAUCAACUGCGCAUUGUACCCCAUUCACUGCGGGCUGCACCCCAUCAACUGCGCGUUGGACCCCAUUCACUGCGGGCUGCACCCCAUUCACUGCGCGUUGUACCCCAUUCACUGCACGUUGUACCCCAUUCACUGCGCGUUGUACCCCAUUCACUGCGCGCUGCACCCCAUUCACUGCGCAUUGUACCCCAUUCACUGUGCGUUGUACCCCAUUCGCUGCACGUGGUACCCCAUUAACUGCACGUGGUACCCCAUUAACGGCGCGCUGUACCCCGCUGAGCAGCGGCUGCAGCCCACGGAGCUGUGGGCGUUCCCGACCCCCUCCGCAGCUCCCGUUUGCGUUGCGCGAUCCCGAAGCCGUUCCUCCGAUGUCCGAAGGGCCGCCGAAGGGCCGCCGAAGGGCCGAGCGCUGCGCGAUCCCCGCCCCCCUCCGUCCCCCCCCGUCCCCCCCCGCUCUCCUCCGCCCAUCGCCCUUUGCUCCCGUGCCCUCCAUCCGCUGCGCUCCGCUUUGGACGCGCGGUUCCCA